rnacentral:lncRNA from 1 species
GAAGAACACCUGUUUUGUUCUCUUAGCUUGCACUUCAUUUUGUUUAAAGAAGAUGACAGGUAGGAAUAUGUGCAAUAUUAGGUAUAUUUCAGCUAAUUUUUUCACAAAAAAGAAGAGAAAAAUAAAAUGCAUGCAUCUUUUUUUGUAAAUUAAAAAGGGUUAUAUAUAAUCAAUUAUAUUGACUAAAGGGGUACUUAGUUUGAAAUUACUAAUCACCAUUUAUCGUACAGGACACUUAUGAGCCAAACGAAAACAUGUAUAGGCAGAACAUACAUCAUUUUUAGAUCAGCGAAAAUUUGAAAAAAUCGUUAUAUCUAUAGUCCAGAUACUCCUCAUCAGGCAUAUCAAAGAGUAAUGAAAUUUCAAUUCCCCUAGACUAUACAGAUAUCAUCUGUUGAAAAUAUUCUUCUUUUACUUGGUUUCCAAAGUUCUAACGGAGUAAGAUACAUGUUAGUUCUUUCAGACUGGGUGGAAAACAUGCUAGAAUUCAGUUAAAAAGUCUCAAGUAAUAUAGAACACAAAUCAAACGUUAUACUGUCUUUGUAUUAUUUUUAUCUAUCAUAUGUCACAAAGUUCUACUUGAAAGAUAAGUGAACAAUACUUUAUAACGUUGAAUUACAUGUGGUGUUCUGAUCAAUAGUAGUAAUGAUUCUAAACUAGAGGCAAAUAUUAAAUCGUCAUCACCUAUAUCACGUUUAAAUGUUACAGGAGAAUUAUUUUAAAACAAGAUAUCAUUAUAUUAAUCUAAACAGUAGUUAAACGAUGUUCAAUUUUCCAAAUCGAGUUUGUGAGAUCAGUAUGAUCUAUUAACAGUCUUGAUUAUGGUUAUGUGUUUCAUUUUGCAAUUACUUCUUGAAUAUUGUGUAAUAUAUGUAAAAAAAUCGGAUGUCUUAAGCAUUUAUUGUUUUAAAGUAAUACACAUUUCUGGUCUUACAUCCUGUCAAUACCUAUAUUUUUGCACUGUACACUAUCAAGUUUUAUCUUUACAAUCAAUCCGUUGAUUCUUUUUGACUUUUUUCAGAUUUUAUGUGGUUUCUUUGUAUAGUCGUCUGCUUUCUGUACCCAGUUGGUAAAUAUGUUUUACAUGUUUCAAUUAUAUUUUGUUGCAUUUUUUCAUGAAUUUGCAUUCGAGUAAGAUAGUAAAGCCAAUCUUUUUUAUAUUAUUGUCAAUAAAACGUUAUAUGGUACAGCUUGUUUUGCGUUCCUUUAAUAUUCCCGAACUUGUCAUAAUAGAAUAUGAAAAUCAAAGUCUUUUGGUACAUUCUUUCCACAUUUAUGAAACUACCUUCAUUCAAACGUGCGCACCAAUCAGUUGGAACACUAAUUCCAAGUAAUUUGAAUACCUGUGAAGCAAUAUGACAGAUCGGGAUCUAGCACAAAUAUCAACAUCAAUUUUAGGUCACCUUCUGCAGAUUGAUUUCGAAACUAAGUUUGUUAAUACUUCAAAAGCACCUUCCCGGAUGUAUCUUCACCAGGAACUCUCAAACGUAUCAGACAAAAAAAAUGAAGUAUGAAUAUAUUCCUAAAAUAAAUCUCGGCAUCAUAUCUUUUUAUAGAUGGCGGCACCACAUGUUUGUCAUGUAGCAGUGUAGAAAGUGUAAUAGACUGUACUCACUUGGAAAGAUGCGGGAAUAAUGAGGUACUUUUCACUUAUUUCUUAUCAUUGUUUCGUACAUGUUAAUAUUAAACUGUAUCAAUUAAGCCAUGCCGGAAAAAGACAAACACAAAUACAUAAUUAAAUUCACACAUUUCACUAGAAUUAUGAAAUAGCUGAUAACUGUUUGUAUGUUUUGAAGUUAUAUGUGUAAGCUUGAAAUAAAAAUACAUAUUGAUAUUAGGGCACCGUAAUAUUUUAAUAAUUAGCACCGUAAAUAUAUGCAUUUACAUUCAAUUUUAGACUCUCAUUUUUAUAUUCCAUUUUUAGAUUCGCAUCCGAUUCACAUUCAACAAUUAUAUAUCUCACAUUGAAUUCCAAUCUUAUAUGGUGUUUUGUGUGUACGACGUAUAUACCUUAUUUAGUCGCUAAUGUUUAAAUCUGAAAAGUUUUAUGAAAUAUUUACUCAUCAAAUUUACAUUCGAGUUCGAUAUUUGAGCAUGUAGCAUUUUAUCGUUUGUAUUGAUAACUUGAUGUAUAAGAUGUUCCUCGUUUAAUUAAAGGAAGUAAUAAAAAAAAGUGACAUAGUUUGGUCAUCAGGAAAAUGUAAACUGUACAAAAUAAAGACUCGUUGUACUUUAAAGCAUCUGUGUACUGAUUUUAGUUUUUGACACGUAUUAGGACUAUGCUUACAUUUUGUAACGUACGUUGUUUUAAACCUUGAGCGUAUUUAAAAUGAAAUUUAUAAUUUUCUUAAAAAAACACCAAACAAGAAUGUUUACGAUGUAACAUCAAAUACACGAUUACCUUUAUGUCUAUAAAUUAAAAUAUUUUACAUUAAUUUCAUUUCAAAACAGAUAGAAGUUACUGUCUGUUGGGAUUUUAUAACUAAGGAUGGCUCUAGAUCUGAUCAUUAUCUGUUUAUUUUAAUCUCAUUCAUGAGUUAUGCAUUGUUCUUCUUUCUAUAAUACAACAAAAGGUCGAAAAGAAUCAUGUUGCAGAUUUGUAGGCUUUGAUGAUGAUUGUGUUUUAUUUAGUCAGUUAACAUCGUGUGUAUCUUCUACUUGCAUUUUUGUAUGAGUAAUACCUUUCUGUUUCUUCUAGAUUUGCUUUGCACAUAAAUAUGUUACAGAAUCAAAAUCGGAAUUGUAUGACUUCGGAUGCACUUACCAAAAGGUAAAUAAGAUAAUUAAAAAACAGAUAAUUGUUGAAACUAGGAAUAUUUAGAAACACGUUAAACAUGUUAAAGAAAUAUAAUAUGAACUAUUUAUAAUGACUUUUUUUGUAAUCUGUUAGAACAAAUCGUAAGUAACUCUAAUGUCUCCGAAUGAUGCAUAAAUUCAUAGAAGGUAUGACUAGAAAGUCGCCCUCAUUUGCCGACGAAAAAAGUUCAAUAAAAUACGGCUAAAGUUGUUAUUCUGGUUACCUAAAGUCACUUCGAGUUAUGUUAUUGGAGAGUAAAACUAAUGCUGCAACUUAUGAUUACAAAAUCAUUUUUUAAAAGAAGCUUCAUUUGGCCAUAUCACUACACGAUCAAUGUAUGAUAUGGUAAAGCCGAGUGUUCACUCAUUGUUAUCAUUACACACGCAUGUGCGUUUCCUGGGAACAACACCUCGGAUACUUAAAUAAACAAUAGUUCUAUAGCAUAUAUCAAAGCGUUGUAAUUCAAUUUUAAACUUAUGUGUUUGCAUCUCCAUUUGAAAUCCGUCCCAUGUCUUUUAUCAAACCUUGUUAUUAAACAUUCCGUAUCGAUUUCAUAAAGACUGAAUGAUUGUAUUGGAGUACUGCUUCUAAAUGCUGACUUUGUUUUUCAUCUUACUUAUAUGUACGUGUUAAAGAGAUAUCUUUAUUUUUCCGUGUACAUUUUAAACUUUUACAGUUUAGUUUAUCUUAUGUUGUACACGUUUGGCGUGACUCGGUAUUUGUGCACCCCGCCCUUAUGUUAUUGUUUUUUUGUCAGUUUUGUAUUCUUGUCCUUCAUGUUUGCUAAUGUACUUUGUUAAUAAAGUGUCUAUAUGCCAUUUAAGACUAUUUUAGGUAGUAAUUUGUUUACAGUAAUUAAGAUUAGAACACAAUAUAGAUGACUGUUGUACCCUAUAUUUUGACAUUUUUCCUAUGAUUUAUGCUUACUUUGCUCUCACAAUGUUGACGUAUUAUGGAAUUCUAUCGACUGUCAUACAAGUGAGAAGUUUAGCUAGCUGUACAACUAGAGUACUGAUUUAAUUUAGGAAUCUGAAAGUUGUUUCUGCUAUUUUCUAUUCCUUUGGUGGUUCUGAGCUUUUGAUUUUGUCAAAAAACUUUUCGUUUGAGGUUACCUGUAUGUACAGAAUAUAAAUGAACUUGAAGGUAAAUAUUGCCUUUGAAUCAGUCUGAAUAUACCAUGGCAUGUAGUUUACUUUUGUGUUUUUAAUUCAUACAACUGCAGUUUCACUGUCCUUUUGUUAUUGGUACAAAACAAAAAAACAAAUGUAUUGAUGCUUUAAGGUAUUUUACAUUUUUCAAUAUUUUCUCUGAAAAAAAACCAUGCUAAUUAUUUAUGGUAAAGGUUAAAUUUUAUUAAAUUUUUAAAUAAAAUAUAAGAUUAUGUGUUUAUAGACAUUCGUGUUGUAAUCAAAAUUAAUGAUAACAUUAUGUAUUAACAUUUUGAACACAUCGACCUCUAGUCAAAAUAUUUGAAUAAUGAAUCGUACAAAGAAAUACAAAACAACCGUCAAUUCUAUUUUUACAUGAUUUAUAGUAAUUACAAAUAGUUUUGAAAGCCACAUUUAUCUAAAUAGCAAAGUAUAAUGGAAUUAUAGGAAUUAAUCGGAAACUUUUAUCAUUAUAUUAAAAAAAACGAACAAUACAAUAUUAUCUUAUGUCAUAACGUAAUAUAGCAGUAUAACGUAUUGCAGCUUUGCGUUCCUGGUAGUUCCGGGUCCAUUUUCGGAAAACGACUAUCAGAGGGCCAUCACAUUGUAUGUCAGACGUGCUGUAAUGACACAGACAUAUGUAAUAUGAAGAGUUCAUGCGUAACUAACGUUGCAAAUACCUCGUCCACAGGACACAGUACUGGUAAUAUAUAUGCAUUCCCUUUUCACUUAUGCUUUGAUCAAUCAUUCAAAAACAGCUGUACUUGUGAAUGCCGAUUGAACAGAAAACUGACUGACAAAUCAUUUAUACCACAACAUCUUGAAAUGAUGUGUCAUGA